CGUCGACCGGCGCACGGGUGAGUAACGCGUAUCCAACCUGCCCUUUACUUGGGGAUAACCCGUUGAAAGACGGACUAAUACCCAAUGAUAUUCAUUGAUGACAUCUGAUUUGAAUUAAAGAUUUAUCGGUAUAGGAUGGGGAUGCGUCUGAUUAGCUUGUUGGUGAGGUAACGGCUCACCAAGGCCACGAUCAGUAGGGGUUCUGAGAGGAAGGUCCCCCACAUUGGAACUGAGACACGGUCCAAACUCCUACGGGAGGCAGCAGUU
rnacentral:rRNA from 1 species